UAAAACUAAUUUAUGUGCAAUUGAUCACAUUUGCUAUGAAAUUAUAAACGAAUUUUGUUUACGUAGGUGGCCAUGAAUGACUUCUAGCGCUUGUUUCUAAUCAACUGGACAUUUGGCCAGUGUGAAAUCGGUACACACAAAGCAAUUAUACUCUUGUUUAUAUUUGAAUUAAAAAAAUAUUUUCAAUCUUUUGAGUCGAGUGUUCGUUUCUCUUUGGACAAUAAUCCCUCUGUUUGUGAGACAAUAUGAAGACCAAAGUGUUUCUGUUCCUAACAUUUGCACUAUGCAUGCUCGUGUCUCUAAUUAUGCCGGCUGUUAACGCGGAAGAUGGGGAAGGGGACGCGGCUGCUGAUGGCGCCGCUGAAGCGAAAGAAGAAGCGACCACUGCGGGCGCAGCCAUAAUCUCGUCAAACUUUGGAGCACAUUUGUGCACGAUGUUGCCUCUCAUGGCUUAUUUUUUCCGGUGUUACCACGCAUAAUGUGGCUUUGCUGCACGCUCAUAAACAUUUUGGCAUUUAAAUCUACCAUAUUUUACACCCCCUUCAAAUAUUACUGUUGUUUGAAAACUGUGAUGUAAAUUAAAGUUUGUAUUAAUAUUUGAUUUGAAAAUGAAAAAUUUUGGCGUUGGGUA